GGGCCUAAAGCUCAGUCGGUUAGAGCAGAGGACUCAUAAUCCUUUGGUCCACGGUUCGAGUCCGUGUGGGCCCACCA
rnacentral:tRNA from 1 species